rnacentral:rRNA from 1 species
UUACUGCGAAGGGGGGACGGAGAAGGCUAUGUUAGCCGGGCGACGGUUGUCCCGGUUUAAGCAUGUAGGCUGGUUAUCCAGGCAAAUCCGGAUAACCAAGGCUGAGGUGUGAUGACGAGGCACUACGGUGCUGAAGUAACAAAUGCCCUGCUUCCAGGAAAAGCCUCUAAGCAUCAGGUAACAUCAAAUCGUACCCCAAACCGACACAGGUGGUCAGGUAGAGAAUACCAAGGCGCUUGAGAGAACUCGGGUGAAGGAACUAGGCAAAAUGGUGCCGUAACUUCGGGAGAAGGCACGCUGGUGUGUAGGUGAAGCCCCUGCGGGUGGAGCUGAGACCAGUCGAAGAUACCAGCUGGCUGCAACUGUUUAUUAAAAACACAGCACUGUGCAAACACGAAA